UUUGUGAGGCAGAGGAGGGAGAAGUCACUUCUAGUCGGUGUGUUAGUGGUGCAGUGUGCUUUUGAGGAAGGUUUGGUGGCAAAGAUUUUCAGAUUGAGAAAUGGAGGCAUCGAGGUCAAAUCUUUUACCUAAACCACUGAGCAGCAGAGACAGUACUAGAGUCAACAGCCGUUCUGAUGAAAUAGACGUGGUCCUCCAUUCACCACAAAGGCAGAGGUCAAGACUGACAGCAACUGCGCAUCACCAGGUGGAAAUUGCUAAGUUCUGGAGGCCGGCGCUGAUGCGAGACUGGGGCCUGCUGGAUCUGUCCCUGGUCACAGAGCAGCUGUGCGCUGUCAAAGUGCCAAGCGCUGUUACAGGUUUUUGUAGUUGUUAUUUAAACCUCAAUCUAAAAAUCUAGUUUAAGAAGUGGGAAUGUUUGUGAUACAUGUGAGUAAACCAAGGGGAAGAACUCAGAAGUUAUGUCAUCCAUGAAGGGUGAAAAUGUGAUUAACUUUCACUGCUCCAAAGCACUAUAAGCAACUUCAAAAAUCUCCGUCCUCCAUCCUUCCUUAUCUGAUAUUUAGCAUUUAUACCUUUAGACUACAUAUAACCACCACCAUAUAAAAAGCUGGGUAUGUGGAUACAUAUAUGUAAGUAGAAUUUUGCUGAAUUAUUAAAAAUGUGUUAAUUAACAAUGUUUCAAAGUUUUUAAAGCA